rnacentral:rRNA from 1 species
CCUACGGGAGGCAGCAGUGGGGAAUAUUGCACAAUGGGGGAAACCCUGAUGCAGCGACGCCGCGUGAGUGAAGAAGUAUUUCGGUAUGUAAAGCUCUAUCAGCAGGGAAGAAAAUGACGGUACCUGAUUCAGAAGCCCCGGCUAACUACGUGCCAGCAGCCGCGGUAAUACGUAGGGGGCAAGCGUUAUCCGGAUUUACUGGGGGUAAAGGGAGCGUAGACGGCAGCACAAGUCUGGAGUGAAAUGCCGGGGCUUAACCCCGGAACUGCUUUGGAAACUGUGCAGCUAGAGUGCAGGAGAGGUAAGUGGAAUUCCUAGUGGAGCGGUGAAAUGCGUAGAUAUUAGGAGGAACACCAGUGGCGAAGGCGGCUUACUGGACUGUAACUGACGUUGAGGCUCGAAAGCGUGGGGAGCAAACAGGAUUAGAUACCCCAGUAGUC